CGAUGCAGUGUUUCAGAAGGGAGAAAAGCAUGGCAGGCAUCAACUGGAUUUCUGUGGUUGGUAAAGCUGUGCUGAGAAGUGGGCUGACACUUGGACCUGGAAAUGUGUCUGCAGACUCUGCACCCAGAGGAAUGACUUUUCCCUGCAGGUUGGGCUUGUCUAAGGUGAUUUUUUCACGAGGAAAGGUUUGAAAUGUUGUUUGCUAAUGGAAGAUGGAGAGAGGAAAAUCAAGUCAAAGGCACACUAUGCACAGCCAGCACAUAGCAUCCGCGCCGCUCUCCCCCUGCACAAAGGAGGAGCAGCUCAGCAAGCUUGGCCUGAGCCAUGGAAGGGAGCAUACAAACAUCUGGACCAACCCCAAUGGAGCUGGUUCUGCAGGAAUCCAUGUGGGUUUUUUAAUGAAGAACAAAUUCGUGCAGCUUGUGAGUGAAUUCAUUCACGCAUGUUAAUCGUUGUUCUUCUCUACAUGGAGCUGCAAUUGAAAUGGAUGCUUGUGGUCUGAUGUGCAGCCCCCUCUGAUGUGCUCAGAUGAGCCAAGUUUGCAAGGCCUGGCUCUCGGUUGUAAGGCAUGUUGUUAUAAAGCACCAUCGUAGGGGCAACCUUGGUUUGUGCAGCCACCAGAGCUCUCCCCCAUGCUUUUCCCUGUGAUGUGUGGCCGUAUCGAAGGCCUCGCAGAAGCCUGGGUAGGUGAAGUCAGUUGCUCUUCCUUUCCCCCCCCCCGAUGCUGGAAAUAGCAGGGAACGGGACUGGGGGACAUCCCAGCAGUGGGUUCCUACCUCAGCAGGACUGAAUGGCCGUUCUGGUGCAUGUAUUUUGAGUGAAUCUGACACCAGUUAGAGAAAUGAGGGGCCUGUGGACAAAAAGAAUGUGCUGCAUUUUGCAGUGUA